rnacentral:rRNA from 1 species
UACAGGGGGGGCAAGCGUUGUUCGGAAUUACUGGGCGUAAAGGGCUCGUAGGCGGCCAACUAAGUCACACGUGAAAUCCCCAGGCUUAACCUGGGAACUGCGUGUGAUACUGGAUGGCUUGAAUCCGGGAGAGGGAUGCAGAAUUCCAGGUGUAGCGGUGAAAUGCGUAGAUAUCUGGAGGAAUACUGGUGGCGAAGGCGGCAUCCUGGACCGGCAUUGACGCUGAUGAGCGAAAGCUAGGGGAGCAAACGGG